ensembl:lncRNA
ACUUAAAUUCAAGCAGAAUAUCGAUCCUACAGUAAAACUCUAGAACUGAGCUGUGCYAUAGAGCAAGAAGACUCCCUGUGCUCCUCCGAACACUUCCCAGCURCAGACAGAAUGGUGGGAUUUCCAUCCUGCGUGGAGAGUGAAAGACAACAGGAGGAUGAGGAAAAGUAGGUCCAAGCUGGCAUGCUGACGGAUACCAUCACUUCAGCAGCAGACCAGAAGCUGUCUGUGGACUUCCAAAUCGUUAAAAAGGAGAACUGGARCGAGCCUUCCUGAGGGGGAAGCGGAGCAGCAGGAGAAGGAUCCGUAUCCUUGGGAUUGCCAUGGCCAAAGCUUGACCCUCUCAUCUUCAGAUGCGGUAGAGUCGUGAGUAAGUGAAGGUUAGUGAGCAAAGUAAUGUUUCGGGGAGUCUUCSGAAACAAGCAGUGAAUUAACCAGGCCAUCCGCAUUCAGAGCCUCAUAUACCAGUAAGAAGAGACUCCCCUACUUCCUAGGCAGAGAGAGUAAAACAGCCAGGAUAUAACUGCAGGAAUUCAGACCCAUGAAAUUGUGCCACUGUGCUCCAAAGAGGCUGUAAAAGGGGGUGGUGGUGGUGGUGCAGCCUUACUGUCGCCCUUCUCCCUGCCCGCUCUCCCCAAACUACAAUUCACUAUAAUCAGACCUCGAGAUUAGGCAAACACGUGCUGCCGUUGUGAGAUAAACACCGGGAAAGCCUUCCAAGAAGGGAGGCAGGAUCAACUACCUGUUGGUUAUUGAGGCCCGAUAGUGUGUUUAUUUCAUAGCUGGAAUUGUGGGGAAUACCCUGUAAUGGCGAGURGGGGAGCAGAAGCCAGUUGCUUAUCUGAUGAAGUUAAUAGAUAGGACUGCUUCUGGGUUAAUCUAGCACUAGCUUGUCUUACGAGGCAUUUUUCGAUGUAAUGAUAACCAUACCUGCUUUUUACUUGUUCAUCRUUAGCAGUGAAUAUAUAUAUAUUAGCCUUUUUUUUCAGGGUAGGAGAAUGAAAAUGUGUUUCUGGACAGCAGCCUCCCCUUCAAACAGCAGCUACUUCCACCGUGCUUUUUAUCCUCCCUAUUUACUCUUGCUUCAAGGCUUUGUGCUGUCCAAAGACUUCGGGAUGUUUAAGAGCCUUAUUCCUGAAAGUACCGUGCAUCUGAAACUCCAUUCAGAAGUUCCUAGGGUGCAUCCACACUGGAAAUUUAUUGCAGUGUUUGGAUUAACUUUCAGCCAUUGUUGAGAGAGCAGAGUGUCUGUACGGUACAGCAUCUCAAACAACUUUGUCCAGGACAGGAACAAAUAAAGAAGAGGAAACCCUGAAGAGCCCUGGGGAC